CUGCAGACCAUUAACCCGACCUGCCCCUCCCGCCAUGGGGACCUCGUGUGCAGUGGGUGCUGACUGCAGCCUCCUCAGUGUAUGAGGCCUGCUGCUUGUAGCGGUUGCCCUAAGGAACCUUGGAGACAGCC
ensembl:snoRNA SNORA70 Small nucleolar RNA SNORA70